GACGAACGCUGGCGGCGUGCCUAAUACAUGCAAGUCGAGCGAAGUUUUUCUGGUGCUUGCACUAGAAAAACUUAGCGGCGAACGGGUGAGUAACACGUAAAGAACCUGCCUCAUAGACUGGGACAACUAUUGGAAACGAUAGCUAAUACCGGAUAACAGUAUUUCUCGCAUGAGAGAUAUUUAAAAGUUGGUUAUGCUAACACUAUGAGAUGGCUUUGCGGUGCAUUAGCUAGUUGGUGGGGUAAAGGCCCACCAAGGCGACGAGGCAUAGCCGACCUGUGAGGGUGAUCGCCCACACUGGGACUUAGACACGCCCCAGACGCCUACGGGAGGCAGCAGUAUGGAACCUUCCGCAAUGGGCGAAAGCCUGACGGAGCAACGCCGCGUGAGUGAAGAAGGAUUUCGGUUCGUAAAGCUCUGUUGUUAGGUAAGAAUGGAUAUGUAGUAACUAUACAUGUAAGAGACGGUACCUAGCCAGAAAGCCACGGCUAACUACGUG
rnacentral:rRNA from 1 species